rnacentral:rRNA from 1 species
UGCAGAGGGUGCGAGCGUUAAUCGGAAUUACUGGGCGUAAAGCGUGCGUAGACGGCUAUCUAAGUCGGGUGUGAAAGCCCCGGGCUCAAACUGGGAAUUGCAUUCGAGACUGAAUAGCUAGGGUGCGGUAGAGGGAAGCGGAAUUUCCGGUGUAGCGGUGAAAUGCGUAGAUAUCGGAAGGAACAUCAGUGGCGAAAGCGGCUUCCUGGACCAGCACCGACGUUCAGGCACGAAAGCGUGGGGAGCAAACAGG